rnacentral:snRNA from 8 species
AUCGCUUCUCGGCCUUUUGGCUCAGAUCAAGUGUAGUAUCUGUUCUUAUCAGUUUAAUAUCUGAUACGUCCCCCAUCGGGGGACUACAUAUUAAAUGGAUUUUUCGAACAGGGAA